rnacentral:tRNA from 1 species
UGGCCCGUAGCUGAAUUGGCAAAGCAUCCGCCCCCCGGGCGGGUUGGUGCAGGUUCGAGCCCUGCCGGGUCAG